rnacentral:rRNA from 1 species
UACGGGGGGGGCAAGCGUUGUUCGGAAUUACUGGGCGUAAAGGGCGCGUAGGCGGCCAUCUAAGUCAGACGUGAAAUCCCUCGGCUCAACCGAGGAACUGCGUCUGAUACUGGAAGGCUUGAAUCCGGGAGAGGGAUGUGGAAUUCCAGGUGUAGCGGUGAAAUGCGUAGAUAUCUGGAGGAACACCGGUGGCGAAGGCGGCAUCCUGGACCGGUAUUGACGCUGAGGCACGAAAGCGUGGGGAGCAAACAGG